rnacentral:rRNA from 1 species
CAGUAGCCGCGGUAAUACGAAGGGGGCUAGCGUUGCUCGGAAUUACUGGGCGUAAAGGGCGCGUAGGCGGACAGUUCAGUCGGGGGUGAAAGCCCGGGGCUCAACCUCGGAAUUGCCUUCGAUACUGGCUGUCUUGAGUAUGAGAGAGGUGUGUGGAACUCCGAGUGUAGAGGUGAAAUUCGUAGAUAUUCGGAAGAACACCAGUGGCGAAGGCGACACACUGGCUCAUUACUGACGCUGAGGCGCGAAAGCGUGGGGAGCAAACAGGAUUAGAUACCCCGGUAGUCCAUGUCUCUUAUAC